rnacentral:rRNA from 1 species
UACGUAGGGGGCAAGCGUUGUCCGGAAUCAUUGGGCGUAAAGCGCGUGUAGGCGGCUCGAUAAGUCUGCUGUGAAAGUCCAGGGCUCAACCCUGGGAUGCCGGUGGAUACUGUCGGGCUCGAGUCCGGAAGAGGCGAGUGGAAUUCCUGGUGUAGCGGUGAAAUGCGCAGAUAUCAGGAGGAACACCAAUGGCGAAGGCAGCUCGCUGGGACGUGACUGACGCUGAGACGCGAAAGCGUGGGGAGCGAUCCGG